ACGGAAGGCAGCAGUGAGGAAUAUUGGUCAAUGGAGGCAACUCUGAACCAGCCAUCUCGCGUGAAGGAAUACGGCCCUACGGGUCUUAAACUUCUUUUAUAGGGGGAUAAAGUGAGAUAUGUAUAUCUUUUUGUAGGUACCCUAUGAAUAAGCAUCGGCUAACUCCGUGCCAGCAGCCGCGGUAAUACGGAGGAUGCGAGCGUUAUCCGGAUUUAUUGGGUUUAAAGGGUGCGCAGGCGGCACGUUAAGUCAGCGGUGAAAUGUCGGGGCUCAACCCGGGCACUGCCGUUGAAACUGGCGAGCUUGAGUACGGAUGAAGUCGGCGGAAUGUGAUGUGUAGCGGUGAAAUGCUUAGAUAUGUCACAGAACACCGAUUGCGAAGGCAGCCUACGAAUGCGUAACUGACGCUCAUGCACGAAAGCGCGGGUAGCGAACAGGAUUAGAUACCCUGGUA
rnacentral:rRNA from 1 species